rnacentral:snRNA from 1 species
GUGACUGUUUCAACAGCACAUAUACUAAAAUUGGAACGAUACAGAGAAGAUUAGCAUGGCCCCUGCGCCAGGAUGACACGCAAAUUCAUGAAGCAUUCCCCAUUAAA